AUGGGGGGCACGGCUGCAAACAGAAAUGGCGUAGGCAUCUUGAUCAACAAGAGCCUCAAGUAUGGAGUGGUAGACGUCAAGAGACGUGGGGACCGGAUUAUCCUGGUCAAGCUAGUAGUUGAGGACUUGGUUCUCAAUGUUAUCAGCGCGUAUGCCCCGCAAGUAGGCCACAAUGAGAACACCAAGAGGGAGUUCUGGGAAGGCUUGGAAGACAUGGUUAGGAGUGUACCGGUUGGUGAGAAGCUCUUCAUAGGAGGAGACCUCAAUGGCCACGUGGUUACAUCUAACACAGGUUUUGAAGGGGCGCAUGGGGGCUUUGGCUAUGGCAUCAGGAAUCAAGAAGGAGAAGAUGUCUUAAGCUUUGCUCUAGCCUACAACAUGAUUGUAGCUAACACCCUCUUUAGAAAGAGAGGAUCACAUCUGGUGACUUUUAGUAGUGGCCAACACUCUAGCCAGAUUGAUUUCAUCCUCUCGAGAGGAGAAGAUAGGCGUGCGUGCCUAGACUGUAAGGUGAUACCUGGAGAGUGUUGUACCCCAGCAUAA
rnacentral:rRNA from 1 species